UACAGAGGGGGCAAGCGUUGUUCGGAAUUACUGGGCGUAAAGGGCGCGUAGGCGGCCUGCUAAGUCGAACGUGAAAUCCCCGGGCUCAACCCGGGAACUGCGUCCGAUACUGGCAGGCUUGAAUCCGGGAGAGGGAUGUGGAAUUCCAGGUGUAGCGGUGAAAUGCGUAGAUAUCUGGAGGAACACCGGUGGCGAAGGCGGUUCUCUGGGCCUUACCUGACGCUGAGGAGCGAAAGCGUGGGGAGCGAACAGG
rnacentral:rRNA from 1 species